GAUAGAGUUAUUGGCACAAGAAACUUUAAUUGUAUGGCUGAAGAAUGCGUCACUGACCAGAAGGACCUGUGGCAGAUUCCAGAAAAGGUCUCCCUAUAAGAAGCUGCUGUCCUCCCUAUAACUUAUGGCACUGCGAUUUUUGCUCUUGAGCAUUGGGCCCGUACCCAGCCUGGGUAAUAUAGCUGCUGCUGGAAGUGACGAGAAGUGCAAGCUGGCGAUGCAGAGGGGUGCGCAGUCCAGCGUGAACUACAGUCAGGGCAGCCUGAAGGAUGCAGUAAGGAAGCUGGUGGGCGAGGGCGGGGUGAAUGUGGCCAUCGACAUGGUGGGAGGAGACAUCUGCCUGGAGGCUCUCCGCAGGUGCAUGGGGUGGUCUGUCUAGAGUGGGCUGGAG
rnacentral:lncRNA from 1 species